rnacentral:rRNA from 2 species
UUACUCCUACGGGAGGCAGCAGCCGCGGUAAUUACCCAAUCCUGACACGGGGAGGUAGUGACAAUAAAUAACAAUACCGGGCUCUUCGAGUCUGGUAAUUGGAAUGAGUACAAUCUAAAUCCCUUAACGAGGAUCAAUUGGAGGGCAAGUCUGGUGCCAGCAGCCGCGGUAAUA